ACUCCUACGGGAGGCAGCAGUGGGGAAUUUUGGACAAUGGGGGCAACCCUGAUCCAGCUAUGCCGCGUGCGGGAAGAAGGCCUUCGGGUUGUAAACCGCUUUUAGUCGGGAAGAAAAGGGCGAGGCUAAUACCUUCGUCACUUGACGGUACCGGCGGAAUAAGCACCGGCUAACUACGUGCCAGCAGCCGCGGUAAUACGUAGGGUGCGAGCGUUAAUCGGAAUUACUGGGCGUAAAGCGUGCGCAGGCGGUUGUGCAAGACAGAUGUGAAAUCCCCGGGCUCAACCUGGGAAUUGCAUUUGUGACUGURCGGCUAGAGUGUGUCAGAGGGGGGUAGAAUUCCACGUGUAGCAGUGAAAUGCGUAGAGAUGUGGAGGAAUACCGAUGGCGAAGGCAGCCCCCUGGGAUAACACUGACGCUCAUGCACGAAAGCGUGGGGAGCAAACAGGAUUAGAUACCCUGGUAGUCCACGCCCUAAACGAUGUCUACUAGUUGUCGGGUCUUUAUUGACUUGGUAACGCAGCUMACGCGUGAAGUAGACCGCCUGGGGAGUACGGUCGCAAGAUUAARACUCAAAGGAAUUGACGG
rnacentral:rRNA from 1 species